rnacentral:rRNA from 1 species
GACGUAGGGCGCGAGCGUUGUCCGGAUUUAUUGGGCGUAAAGAGCUCGUAGGCGGUCUGUCGCGUCUGCUGUGAAAACCCGGGGCUCAACCCCGGGCUUGCAGUGGAUACGGGCAGACUAGAGUUCGGUAGGGGAGACUGGAAUUCCUGGUGUAGCGGUGAAAUGCGCAGAUAUCAGGAGGAACACCGGUGGCGAAGGCGGGUCUCUGGGCCGAUACUGACGCUGAGGAGCGAAAGCGUGGGGAGCGAACAGG